GAUGAACGCUAGCGGCAGGCCUAAUACAUGCAAGUCGAACGGUAACAUGUCUUUCGGGAUGAUGACGAGUGGCGCACGGGUGCGUAACGCGUAUGCAACCUACCCUUUACUGGAGGAUAGCCCGGGGAAACUCGGAUUAAUACUCCAUAGCACUAUUGAUUCGCAUGAUGAGAUAGUUAAAGAUUUAUUGGUAAAGGAUGGGCAUGCGUACCAUUAGUUAGUUGGUAAGGUAAUGGCUUACCAAGACGAUGAUGGUUAGGGGGCCUGAGAGGGUGAUCCCCCACACUGGUACUGAGAUACGGACCAG
rnacentral:rRNA from 1 species